rnacentral:lncRNA from 1 species
UUAGUGCAUAAAUAUUUCUAGUUCCUUAGAAUUACUCCAGUAACUUUCACACACAUAAAUUAUACGCAAAAAAGAAAAUCAUGUUUAACCUGCAUCCAGUCAUGCUUCAUGCUGGCCACUAUGUGAAAUGCAGUUCUAGAAAUAUUUGGCUUCCUUCCCCCAAAUAAACCUACAUUAUAAGUUGAUAUUCUUCACGGUGGACUCCAACAAGCUAAAAGCAAUCUUGUAUUGACUGAACAAGACAACAACAACAACAAC